UAGUUGGAUUUCUGGUCUGAGCGUUUAGUCCGGCGCUGUGCGUUGUGUACUUGAAUGACUUGGACCUUCCUUGUAGGGAAUAUGUGUGGUCUUAAUUGAUCGUGCAUGGGAACUGCAUCGUUUACUGUGAAAAAAUUAGAGUGUUUAAAGCAGGCAUUUGCUGUGAAUACAUUAGCAUGGAAUAAUAAGAUAGGACUUUGGUACUAUUUUGUUGGUUGGAGGCCAAGGUAAUGAUUAAUAGGGAUAGUUGGGGGUAUUCAUAUUUAAUUGUCAGAGGUGAGAUUCUUGGAUUUAUGAAAGAUGAACUUAUGCGAAAGCAUUUACCAAGGAUGUUUUCAUUAAUCAAGAACGAAAGUUAGGGGAUCGAAGAGGAUUAGAUACCCUCGUAGUCUUAACCAUAAACUAUGCCGACUCGGGAUUGGA
rnacentral:rRNA from 1 species